rnacentral:rRNA from 1 species
AUUGAACGCUGGCGGCAGGCCUAACCCAUGCAAGUCGAGCGAGCGGCGGACGGGUGAGUAAUGUAUGGGGAUCUGCCCGAUAGAGGGGGAUAACUACUGGAAACUGUGUCUAAUACCGCAUACUAUCGUGUGACCCCAUAUGGGAUUGUCUAGUAGGUGGGGUAAAGGCUCACCUAGGCGAAGCCCUCUAGCUGGUCUGAGAGGAUGAACAGCCACACUGGGACUGUGACACGGUCCAGACUCCUACGGGAGGCAGCAGUGGGGAAUAUUGCGCAAUGGGGGAAACCCUGAUGUAGCCAUGCCGCGUGAAUGAAGAAGGCCUUCGGGUUGGAAAGUACUUUCGGUAGCGAGGCGUUAACGACAGAAGAAGCACCGGCUAACUCCGUGCCAGCAGCCGCGGUAAUAC